GCAUGCCCGGCCGUCCCGCCCGCCGCGCCGCCGGAGCGAGGCGAGGCUCGGUGAGUCAGAGCCGCACAGUAAAUAUUUGUAUUUGCCGGAGCCGGCUCGCUUGCUAAUGGUGGACGCGUGAGGCGGCGGGGCGAGCGGCGGCGGGAGGCCGAGCGGGCAGCGCGGCGGCGGCGCCAUGUCCGUGAACAUGGACGAGCUCAAGCACCAGCUCAUGAUCAACCAGUUCGUGCUGACGGCGGGCUGCGCGGCCGACCAGGCGAAGCAGCUGCUGCAGGCGGCCCACUGGCAGUUCGAGGUGUUGACUGGGGGGACCCCCUUUUGUUCGGGUAACGGCCGGGCCGCGGGGCCGAAGGGCGGGGCGGCGCUUGGCCAGGACGGACAGUCCGGCUGUCGGCCGGAAGGAGGACGCCCCGGGCUGCAGCCGAGCGGAGCCCGCGCCCGCCCCCCUCGAGGGACGCCGGGUCCCGCGGGUGGAGCCGCCGCGAGCGUGCGGGGGUCUGCGCGCCCGGAGGGACGGCUGGCCAGCGGCGCUUGCGCAAGAGUAGCGGCUUCCCUUAUUCUCCUCGGAGGCCGGGCCGGCACACCAGACGCCCGCACUCUCCUUGGUGAGCCUGCCCUGCUCCCCCCGGCACGGACUUGCCUUCUGGCCUCCCCCCCACUCCCCUUCUCAGACUGCCCUGAGGAUUCCCGGGUCCCUGUCCCGUCUUGCCUUUUUCUAACCAAGUGUCCCUGGGCUGGUCACUCCAUCCCUCAGUUUCCCCAUCUGUGCCUCCCGGGGCUGAGGAGGAGGGGAAGACGCUCCCGUUGGGAUGUUGUGACUGAGCCCGGGCACGUGCUCAACGGGCAGCGGCGUGUGGGGAGGGGACGGUUAUGGGCGCCGUGCCCGGCCAGUAGCAGAUGGCCUGUGGGUGCAGCUGUGGUUAGUGGCCACCAAAGGUCACUGUCAUAAACCCUGGGGUGGGUCAGUCCUAGAAGCACACGUUCUUUCACCACCCUUUUGCUCCACCACCUUGAGAACAUUCUGGGGGAAGCUCAGGUGCAUGAGCAACCGUGUUACUUAGUUCUGGGCUUUCCCAGCCAGAACGGGGUUCUUAGGAGGUCACUGCCAUAAAGGGGGGGUGGGAGGAUCUGGAAGCCCCCUAGUCCAGGCUCCUUGUGGUACAGCUGGAGAAACUGAGGCCCAGGCGGGGGUCAGGUGACUUGGUUGGCCAGCGGUGGAGCUGGGCCCCAGGGCUCCAUCUGCCUGGCUCGGCGCUGUGUCUGUCCUGUCUGGCCUCGCAGUGAAGCAGGAAAGCCAGGGAGGAGACCUCGUGUCACAGGAGGAGUCCAAGGCUCAGAGGGGAAUGAGGACUUGCCACUCUUUGGGUUGGCACCCGAGCCAGGCUGGACUGCCCUGAGUCUCAGGCCAGGUCCAAGUCAAGCUGUUUGAGAGCCGCAAAGCCACAGGUGAGGGGCCGAGGCGGCCAGGCGCGCACAUGUGAUGGGGCAGCGGCACCGCCCACCUCCAGAGCUACCAGGUGUGUGCACAGACGGCCCUCAGCGCCUUUUUCCAGGAGACCAACAUCCCCUACAGCCACCACCACCAGAUGGUAAG